rnacentral:rRNA from 1 species
UACGUAGGGGGCAAGCGUUGUCCGGAAUCAUUGGGCGUAAAGAGCGCGUAGGCGGCCCUGUAAGUCCGCUGUGAAAGUCAAGGGCUCAACCCUUGGAUGCCGGUGGAUACUGCAGGGCUAGAGUCCGGAAGAGGCGAGUGGAAUUCCUGGUGUAGCGGUGAAAUGCGCAGAUAUCAGGAGGAACACCGAUGGCGAAGGCAGCUCGCUGGGACGGUGACUGACGCUGAGGCGCCGAAAGCGUGGGGAGCAAACAGG